GCCCUAGUAGCUUAAAUCCAAAGCACCGGUCUUGUAAUCCGGAGAUCGGAGGUUAAAUUCCUCCCUAGAGCC
rnacentral:tRNA from 1 species